ACGGAAGGCAGCAGUGGGGAAUAUUGGGCAAUGGGCGCAAGCCUGACCCAGCGACGCCGCGUGAAGGAAGAAGGUCUUCGGAUUGUAAACUUCUUUUAUGUGGGACGAAGAAAAUGACGGUACCACAUGAAUAAGCUCCGGCUAACUACGUGCCAGCAGCCGCGGUAAUACGUAGGGAGCAAGCGUUAUCCGGAAUUACUGGGUGUAAAGGGAGUGUAGGCGGGACUGUAAGUCAGAUGUGAAAUAUGCCGGCUCAACUGGCAGACUGCAUUUGAAACUGCGGUUCUUGAGUGAAGUAGAGGUAAGCGGAAUUCCUAGUGUAGCGGUGAAAUGCGUAGAUAUUAGGAGGAACAUCAGUGGCGAAGGCGGCUUACUGGGCUUUAACUGACGCUGAGGCUCGAAAGCGUGGGGAGCAAACAGGAUUAGAUACCCUGGUA
rnacentral:rRNA from 1 species